rnacentral:rRNA from 1 species
CUCGAGAAAUAGCGAGCUAAUAUUAUGGAGGGGAUUUGUUGAAUAAAGUUUUUUAAUAUAUUAUUAGGGGUGAAAUACUAUUCAAGCUAUUUGUUAUCUAGUUGUUUAAUAAAGAUAAUAGGGGGUAUUUUUACUGACUCAUUAAGCUGGGAUUAGCUAGUUUGAUUUUUAUAUUGAGCGGUUGAUAAAUAAUAUAAUUUGAGUUAAAAGUGCUUUUGAUAAUAAAGUUAUUAUUAAAUACUAUAUAUUGAUUUAAUUUUUAUUAGGAUGUUAGAAUAUUAAGCAUAGGCGGUUAAUAUAAUCUUGUUUAUAAUAAUGAUUAUAUAAGUAAAGAAAAAUUAAUUUUAUAUAUAAGUUUAUUUAAGGCUAUUGGGAUCAUAAGGAUGUGGUAUUUAGGUUUUAUAAAUGAAUUCGACAACAGGAUUCUUUGACUGUUUAGCAAAAACAUUGCCUAUUGUUUAUUAAAUUAUAGGUAAUUUCUGCCCACUGCAAUUAUAGUGAAGGGCUGCAGUAUUUUGACUGUAUAAAGGUAGCAUAAUCAUUAGCUUUUUAAUUUGGAGCUGGUAUGAAGGGGAUACGGGGAAUUGGUUUAUUUAUAAAGAGAAUUGAAUUUUAUAGUUUUGUGAAAAAUCAAAAAUUUAAUUAAGGGACAAGAAGACCCUAUUUAAGUUUUAUUGCUAUUUAAGAAAAAUAUAGAGGUUAAAAUUAAUAAUUAAUAUAAUUUUUAAGUGGUGAUUUAGCUGGGGCGGUGAAUUUAAAAAACAUUAUUUGAAUUUUAAUAUAAAAUUUAGCGGAUUAUGGAUCUGAUUAGGUCAAUUGAAUGGAAAAUUACUUUAGGGAUAACAGCGUUAUUAUUUUUGAGAGUUCUUAUUGACAAAAUAGUUUGCGACCUCGAUGUUGGAUUAAGAUUAGCGUUGGUGCAGUAGUUGGCGUGUUUUGGUCUGUUCGACCAAUAGGAUCUUACAUGAUCUGAGUUCAGACCGGCGUGAGCCAGGUCGGUUUCUAUCUUUAAUAAAGGCGAUAGGUGCGGUAUCAGUACGAAAGGACCAUAUUG